GACGUAGGGGGCGAGCGUUAAUCGGAAUUACUGGGCGUAAAGCGUGCGCAGGCGGUUAGCAAAGUCUGAUGUGAAAGCCCCGGGCUCAACCUGGGAACUGCAUUGGAAACUAACGGGCUCGAGUGUGGCAGAGGGGGGUGGAAUUCCACGUGUAGCAGUGAAAUGCGUAGAGAUGUGGAGGAACACCGAUGGCGAAGGCAGCCCCCUGGGCUAACACUGACGCUCAUGCACGAAAGCGUGGGGAGCAAACAGG
rnacentral:rRNA from 1 species